CAAAUGUGACGUAAGCAAUCAUUACCAAGUGAAUCACUUUAUGUGAAUAUCCACACUUUCACGUCAAUAUUGACAUGUCAUAACAUGCUUUGUUUUUUAUGCAUUUUAAACAGGUCAAAUGGAGUGGUGCCUAUCAAGAGGGGGCUGGAUUGACACUAGGGGAGGAGGUAGAGCAGGUCAAUGCCUUCCUCUCUCGGAUAGCAGUGACCACCAAACACAUGUCCAAAGCAGGACGCACAGACAUGCUCACCCUCUUGGCCAUGCGCUGGAAUCAGCAAAAGACUGACAACUUGGCCACCUCACUGUCCCGCAGAUAUCUGAGGACCACAAAAGCUCUGGAUGCCCAAAAGCGGAACAUGGAGUCCAUGAAGACCGAAUUGGACGUCACAGAGAACCAGA